rnacentral:lncRNA from 1 species
CAAUAAUCCCACAUCCGAUAGUUAUGGCUAGAUAUGGGGGUAUAUAAGCUUAAUUAGGCUAGACAUAAUAAUUGAGAUUAAGCAUUUUGGGCUGGUGUUCGGCCUGGACGAGUUAUUGUUGCUAAUGGGCUCCGUCGUUACAUUUGGUAUCAGAGCUGGUUCACCAGCCGAAAAUGUGUGGCGCGUCUCGACUGAGCCAGGGUCUGAAAGAUAAGAUAGGCGAUAUCAGACUCUAAAUGACAAGCUGACCGGCUAUACCAGGGUCUGGAUGACAAGUCUACUGAGACGAGUUUCACAUCGCCUGGUGAUCUUAGCUCUGUGUGUGAUUUGACUCACGAGGAAGUCAGGGCCUAAAACGGGAGGAUGUGACACCCAAUAAUUCCACAACGGAUAGUUAUGGCUAGAUGUGGGGGUAUAUAAGCUUAAUUAGGCUAGAUAUAAGAACUGAGCUUAAGUAUUUUGGGCCAGUGUUUGGCCUCAUUGAGUUAUUGUUGCUAGUGUGCUGAG